rnacentral:lncRNA from 1 species
UAACAUAAUCACUAACAUAGUUCCGCUAUAUAAAACUUCGUUUGACAUUUGCCAUAAACAGAAGCAGAAUGAUAAAGAUAUAGAAAGCGUGUUAUCUCACACGAACAUAUCAAAUGGCUAAACACUACCUAAGAGGAAAUAGUCAUCUCGUACAAACUUAUAGAAUGGUUAAACACUAUCUAACGAGAAAAUAGCCUUCUAAACAUCUUGAAAUUACAAUUCCUCACGAAAGUGAAAAAGUUAAUCAACCUACACAAAUUAUUUCAUUCCGUACACAUAAUAACCAUUCCUUCGUUCCUAUAAUUUAAACCCACAUGACAAUAUUCUAACAGAUCCAUGUUCAUGUUCAUAAUAUCAAAGGUUCAACGCCUCAAUGACCUAACAACUCAAAAGAAUAUAAAACCAAUCCUACGCAGACACUAUCCAUAAGAUCAUCACUGAGCCACAGUUAUAAGCAGAUUGUAUAAAAUAAAGGAUGAUAAAUCGAGAACCCACGUGGAUUCUUUCAUGUAAUAACAUAAUCCUGAUACUGAUAGAAAACAUAGCAUCCAUUUGUUCCAACAAAAAACAUUCAAAUUCAGAUAGCAAAACCAACAAAAACUCUCACAAAUGUUUGGUUUCAAAAGGGAGAAAGACAAAGCAGGUUCCUCGAAACUACUUAGAUCGCUGUCUCAUCUUUCGUCUCUUCCUCUUCAACCUCCUCAUACGCUUCUUCUUCCACUGAUUCAAACCCAAACAGAGAUAAACAUUAAACAUACUAACCACUACUUCUAUUAAUCACAAUUAACAUAAAAAAAAAUCAUUACAAACCUUAGCUCUCAUGCUGGUUUCGACAAAAGUUGUAACCCUUUCCUUCCUCUGAUAGUGUUUUAGAUUUCAGAAAAUGAGAAGUAGCGGCGGAGAUUCUGUUCGUCUCGCUCAGCUUACUCCUUUAAAUGCAACAAAACCCUAGAACUCGUGUAAUGGGCCUAACUUAUUCAUAGGCCCAAUAAAGAUUACAUGUAACAAAACCCAAAAAAAAAACUCAAUUUUAUGAGCUGUAAUGAUUCACAGGCCCAAUAAAGCCCAAAUCCUUUCGUAGCCAUGCCGACAUAAGACAUUCCGACACGAGAAGAUUGAAGAUCUGUUCGAGAAAUUGAUUACAUGGAGAGUACAUUUCAUUAAAUAUCACAACUGAACAAGAUUAUUUUGACUUGCUUUCAUCGUCUUCGUCUCCAAAGGAUCCAUCUUUUCCUCUUC